ACGAGGGAGGUGCGGCGAGCGGAGCUCCGGGAGCCGCCCAAAUGGCGCGUGCCAAGAACGUCCUUUGAGCCGCUUGAGGCGCCUCGUUGCUCCGGUCAGUGUCUCCCCGUGUCGUGUGAGUCAUCCUCGCCGCAGGAGCCAGAAUCAAGACGAUGAUAAACGAAGCCAUGUUCUGCAUGAAUAAAGAAUCAGACGGAUCUGAACCCCGAGAUAUGGCCAAUAGAAUAUGUAUAGUUGAGCUGCUCAGAUCUCAGAUUGCGAGGCUUUUAAAAAGCAUAUCCGGUCUGCAUCCUAAACCUGUGGAAACUGGAGAGUGCUCGAGGAAAGAAGAAAAUUACAGUCCAGUGCAGGCAGUUCGAACCGACUUAAGGAAAUGAGUAAUGA